rnacentral:rRNA from 1 species
AUUGAACGCUGGCGGCAUGCCUUACACAUGCAAGUCGAACGGCAGCACGGGAGCAAUCCUGGUGGCGAGUGGCGAACGGGUGAGUAAUACAUCGGAACGUGCCCAGUAGUGGGGGAUAGCCCGGCGAAAGCCGGAUUAAUACCGCAUGAGACCUGAGGGUGAAAGCGGGGGAUCGCAAGACCUCGCGCUAUUGGAGCGGCCGAUGUCAGAUUAGCUAGUUGGUAGGGUAAAGGCCUACCAAGGCAACGAUCUGUAGUUGGUCUGAGAGGACGAGCAGCCACACUGGGACUGAGACACGGCCCAGAAUCCUACGGGAGGCAGCAGUGAGGAAUUUUGGACAAUGGGCGCAAGCCUGAUCCAGCAAUGCCGCGUGCAGGAAGAAGGCCUUCGGGUUGUAAACUGCUUUUGUCAGGGAAGAAAUCUUCUGGGCUAAUACCCUGGGAGGAUGACGGUACCUGAAGAAUAAGCACCGGCUAACUACGUGCCAGCAGCCGCCGUAACAC